UUAAAAAAUAAAAAAAAAUAUUAGAGUAGUAAAAGAUAUAAUCUUAAAACUUAAAAAAUUUGGCGGUGUUUUAUUCUAAUUAGAGGAACCUGUUUUAUAAUUGAUAAUCCACAUUGAAUCUUACUUAAAUUUGUUUAAUUUGUAUAUCAUUGUCGGAAGAAAAUCUUAAAAAAGAAAAAAUUUUCUAAUAUAAUUUUUAUUAUAUAUGUCAGAUCAAGGUGCAGUUUAUAUUUAAGUAAAAAUGGGUUACAAUAAAAUUAUUUAUAAUGAAUUAAAAAUUUAAACAUUUUUAUGAAGGAGGAUUUAAUAGUAAAUAUUUAUAGAUAAAAAUUUUGAUUAUAGUUCUAAAAUGUGU
rnacentral:rRNA from 1 species